AAGAGUCCAAAACAUACCAAUGGAUAUAAAAUAAUUAGAAUAAAAGUUUAGAAUGUACUUGAUGAAAGCAACAUGACAAUGACAAGGGUUCAUCCAUCACCCUUUGCCAAGGAAUUAGCUUUCCAUUACAAACAUCGCUUCCCCUUUUGUGUUUUUUUUUUUCUUUUUCUUUUUCGGAACCGGGCAUACCCUGUUUCCCUUUCUUUCUUCCCUUCUCUCUUUUGAAAAGAGAGUCUCUUCUGUUUUUUUUUGAAUGGAAACCAGAACCCCCCUGAGACAGGAAGACCCCAAGCCCCUUUAUAUUCAACUCUCCCUCCCCCUCUGUUUAUUCUUGGAAAGCCAAACAAAUCAAACGAAAAUCCGAAUCAAAUUUGCUGUGAUUCGGAUGGGAUUUCGUUGGAAGGCUGGAAAUCCGCUGCUGUAAAUGCGUGGGAGGUUCAGUCGGACGCUGGGAUGUUGUGAUGCAUCGAGGAAGAGGCGGAUCCGGAAGCAAUAGACGUUGAUCUCGGCUGGGAGGAAGGAUGAGAGCGGAUUGAAAUCUGGAUGAGCGGAAACAGGGGAUGCGGGAGAUCAGAUCACGGAAGAUUGCUGAUGCUGGGGAGGGUCUGAUGCGGGUCCGGAAGAAGAGCUGGGAGGCGCAGAUGGUAAUGGAUGAUGCGUGGGAUCCUGGGGUCGCACGCUGGAGGAAGCUGGGAGGCGCGUGAGGCGGAUUGAGGCUGUGAACGGCUGGGAGGUGAAGCGGACGCGGUGGAGACGGGAUGCUGGGAAGCUUCACGGGCUGGGAGCUGAUCGCGGGAUAGGCGGAUGGCUGGGAGCUCUGGGACGCCGUGGCUCACUUGCGGAAACGAGAGAAUUGUAAGCGGGACCCUUGGCUCGGAUGAGCGAGAACCCGGAAGAGGUGGACGCGCUGGGACGGCUGAAGAUGCACAUGAGAUGCGUGGGAUUCUGAUAUCUGGGAGGUGAUCGCGGGAUGUUGGGACGAUCACGAAUCCGGAAGUAGAAAGUAGAGGACUCGGGGGAUUCCUGAUUAUGUGGCCCGAUUGAGAAGGAUCGGGAUCUCUUCCAUGCGGGCGGACGCGGGGAAUUGGAUGUAGACGGCUGCAUCGUGAUCUUUUUCAAAUGGCCGCACAGGAUGAGACGAGAAGGAAGCUGGACACACUGCUGAUUUCUUUCUUUAUUUUGAAUUCCAAUGAAGGAUUCCAAUGCACUUCAAGGGACUAUAACAAGUAGACAAGUGUUGCUCGGGUGCAAGUGUGCUUGACCAGGUUCAAUUCUGUUCUAGUGUAAUCAGGCUUGAAGUCAUGAAUCAUCCCAAACUG
rnacentral:lncRNA from 1 species